CCUACGGGGUGCAGCAGUAGGGAAUAUUGCUCAAUGGGGGAAACCCUGAAGCAGCAACGCCGCGUGGAGGAUGAAGGUUCUCGGAUUGUAAACUCCUUUUGUUAGAGAAGAUAAUGACGGUAUCUAACGAAUAAGCACCGGCUAACUCCGUGCCAGCAGCCGCGGUAAUACGGAGGGUGCAAGCGUUACUCGGAAUCACUGGGCGUAAAGAGCGCGUAGGCGGGAUAGCAAGUCAGAUGUGAAAUCCUAUGGCUUAACCAUAGAACUGCAUUUGAAACUGUUAUUCUAGAGUGUGGGAGAGGUAGGUGGAAUUCUUGGUGUAGGGGUAAAAUCCGUAGAGAUCAAGAAGAAUACUCAUUGCGAAGGCGGCCUGCUAGAACAUAACUGACGCUGAUGCGCGAAAGCGUGGGGAGCAAACAGGAUUAGAUACCCUAGUAGUC
rnacentral:rRNA from 1 species